AGCAUGAGAUCAGCUUGCUGAUCUUGAUGGCGACCGGCGCACGGGUGAGUAACGCGUACUCCAACCUUCCCCCUGCUCAGGGAUAGCCCGCUGAAAGGCGGAUUAACGACCUGAUAGCUUCGACUAGAUGGCAUCUGACGGUGAAUAAAGAUGACGGCAAGGGAUGGGGAUGCGUCUGAUUAGCUUGUUGGCGGGUAACGGCCCACCAAGGCAACGAUCAGUAGGGGUUCUGAGAGGAAGGUCCCCCACAUUGGAACUGAGACACGGUCCAAACUCCUACGGGAGGCAGCAGUGAGGAAUAUUGGUCAAUGGGCGGAAGCCUGAACCAGCCAAGUAGCGUGCAAGGAUGACGGCCCUAUGGGUUGUAAACUGCUUUUGUACGGGAAUAAAGUCAUUCACGUGUGGAUGUUUGCAUGUACCGUAAGAAUAAGGACCGGCUAAUUCCGUGCCAGCAGCCGC
rnacentral:rRNA from 1 species